CAAGUCGAACGAGAAAGUGGAGCAAUCCAUGAGUACAGUGGCGUACGGGUGAGUAACACGUGGGUAAUCUACCUCUUAGUGGGGAAUAACCGAGGGAAACCUUGGCUAAUACCGCAUAAGCCUGAGAAGGGAAAGCAGCAAUGCGCUGAGAGAGGAGCCUGCGGCUGAUUAGCUAGUUGGUGGGGUAAGAGCCUACCAAGGCAGAGAUCGGUAGCCGGCCUGAGAGGGCACACGGCCACACUGGCACUGAAACACGGGCCAGACUCCUACGGGAGGCAGCAGUGGGGAAUCUUGCACAAUGGGGGAAACCCUGAUGCAGCGACGCCGCGUGAGCGAUGAAGCCCUUCGGGGUGUAAAGCUCUUUCGUCAGGGACGAUAAUGACGGUACCUGGAGAAGCAGCUGCGGCUAACUACGUGCCAGCAGCCGCGGUAAUACGUAGGCAGCAAGCGUUGUUCGGAGUUACUGGGCGUAAAGGGUGUGUAGGCGGUUCUUUAAGUUUGGUGUGAAAUCUCCCGGCUCAACUGGGAGGGUGCGCCGAAUACUGAGGGACUAGAGUACGGGAGAGGAAAGUGGAAUUCCUGGUGUAGCGGUGAAAUGCGUAGAUAUCAGGAGGAACACCGGUGGUGUAGACGGCUUUCUGGACCGACACUGACGCUGAGACACNAAAGCGUGGGUAGCAAACAGGAUUAGAUACCCUGGUAGUCCACGCCCUAAACGAUGCAUAUUUGGUGUGGGCAGUUCAUUCUGUCCGUGCCGGAGCUAACGCGUUAAAUAUGCCGCCUGGGGAGUACAGUCGCAAGGCUGAAACUCAAAGGAAUUGACGGGGGCCCGCACAAGCGGUGGAGCAUGUGGUUCAAUUC
rnacentral:rRNA from 1 species